rnacentral:lncRNA from 1 species
GCCUAGAAAAUUUUCAAAAUGUCCUGGAUGAAUAUAUGUUAAGGAGUGUUAUUAAGUUAAUUUUCCAGAGUCCUAGUAUCAUAGGGCUAAUGUAAGACCCAAGGGUCAAGUGCAGAGAGAACAGCAGUACACACUGAACACUUGGGAUCUUUGCUUCUUCCCUUCACUGACAUUUCCUACCUGCAGAUAAGUUUUGAACAGAUAUACAUACAGAUUUUCCUGUUGUUUCCCCAGCCCCAGGUAAUUGCUUUGAAUAUUCUGCAAAGGUCUGGAGUCAUUUUUAUUUGGGUGAUUUUAAGUUAGAAACAAUAUAGUGUAUAAAAUCUUGGUAAUGUAGAAUUUUCUCUAUUUCGAGGUCCAGUAAUUAUGACCACGACUUACAUAAUUAUCGGAGGACAAACUCUCUAAUCAGGAUAUAAGAUUCUCUGGUAUGAAAAAGCAAAUUAACUUUGUGAUAUAUUUAGAUCAAUUUAGAGGUGAGAUGGAUAUUUUUUUCUUUCUACAGCUAGAGAAGUUAGCCAGCCAGAAAACCCCCUGCUUAAAAGAGAAUUCACAAGAAGGAUGAGUUCAUUUACAGAGGGAUGGAUUGAUUAUAAGAGUGAUGCUGGUGAGCACACUUAUAAAUUACGUGUGUAACUUUAACUUCUGAAAACAAACAUUUUUUAUUUACAUGGUUGAGAGUGGCUUUCUAUAACAAAUGUUUCAUAAGGUUUGUGGUUAUUAAAAACUUUAUGGUUAAAAGUUACAUUCCUUUGUGAUUAAACCAAAAGGUUAGUUAAGCAGUUGAAUAUGAAGGCGAGGAGCUUUGAUCAUGCUCAUAAGAAACAGAGCAUGUAGAUUUCAACUUAUUUGAGACAAUAGAUCCUUAUGGCUAACCUCUGUAUCACAGGCCACAUUGCUCUCUGUCAUCCUUUAGGCUCUACCAGGAGAAGCAGUGGCAGGGUAUUGAAGAUUGGAGGUCUGCAAGAGGGUACUGAACUAAAAUCCUCAGAUUGGAAUUUGCUGUGCUAACUAUAUGCAUUGUUUGGAGAACAGUGAACAUUCAAAAUUGUAUUCACCUGUGGGCAGUCCCGGUUCAUAGAGGUGGCAGGAUGGAGAUUGAGCACAGGUGAGUAGAGCAUGGUCAUUCAUGGACUUUCCAAGUGUAGUAGGGCUAAACCCUUACAGCCAGGGAACACUGGGAGAGAGUGAAGACAAUCUCAGAGACUUGGUACCAUGGUCAAGGAAUUACACUCCUGGGAGAGAUUUCUAGAAGUGGAACAUGGAAUCAGAAGUACAAUGAUGUGACUCUGGGUAAAUUUCUAUGAUGUAGUCGCAGGAGGACAGGCAAAAGUGCCCUAUAAUUAAAUGAAUGGGCAUCAAAAAGUAAUGAACAGGCUGAAAAUCAGAAGAAAGCCUGGCAAUGUCACUUUUUCUUUGGAAAAAAAUUGUUCUUUGUUAUUUUAAGUUCCAGGAUACAUGGGUAGAAUGUGCAGGUUUGUUACGUAGGUACACAUGUGCCACGGUGGUUUGCUGCACCUAUCAACCCGUCAUCUAGGUUUUAAGCCCCAGAUGCAUUAGGUAUUUGUUCUAAUGCUCUCCCUCCCCUUGUCUGCAACCCCACAACAGGACCUGGUAUGUGAUGUUCCCCUCCCUGUGUCCAUGUAUUCUCCUUGUUCAAUUUCCACUUAUGAAUGAGAACAUGGCGUGUUUGGUUUUCUGUUUGUGUGUUAGUUUGCUGAGAAUAAUGGGAUGCCACUUUUUCAUGUUGGGGAUAACCUAAUGCUACAAUCCCUUCAAGAUAGGGCUUAAGUACUUCCUGUUUCAAGGAAUUGUCAGUCAAGGAGAUUAGUAGAUAUAAUUGUGGGGAAUCUUGGAAAAAACAGAGCCCAAAGCAAAAAGGAGAGAGCUCUCACCACCAGAGCAUUUCCAUCUUUGAAUUUUUCUAAAUGCAAUUUGGAAAGUAUCAUCACAGGGGAGGACCAACAUCAGCUAGCAUUUAUUGAUCACUUACUCUGUGCCAGG